UACGUAGGGUGCAAGCGUUGUCCGGAAUUAUUGGGCGUAAAGAGCUCGUAGGCGGUUUGUCGCGUCUGCUGUGAAAACCCGAGGCUCAACCUCGGGCCUGCAGUGGGUACGGGCAGACUAGAGUGCGGUAGGGGAGAUUGGAACUCCUGGUGCAGCGGUGGAAUGCGCAGAUAUCAGGAGGAACACCGGUGGCGAAGGCGGAUCUCUGGGCCGAUACUGACGCUGAGGAGCGAAAGCGUGGGGAGCGAACAGG
rnacentral:rRNA from 1 species